rnacentral:rRNA from 1 species
CACGUAGGGGGCAAGCGUUGUCCGGAUUUAUUGGGCGUAAAGAGCUCGUAGGCGGCUCGGUAAGUUGGGUGUUAAACCCCUAGGCUUAACCUGGGGACGCCACCCGAUACUGCCGUGGCUAGAGUCCGGUAGGGGAGCGUGGAAUUCCUGGUGUAGCGGUGAAAUGCGCAGAUAUCAGGAGGAACACCAGCGGCGAAGGCGGCGCUCUGGGCCGGAACUGACGCUGAGGAGCGAAAGCGUGGGUAGCAAACAGG